rnacentral:rRNA from 1 species
GAUGAACGCUGGCGGCGUGGAUAAGACAUGCAAGUCGAACGGGGUUUCAGCGGAUAGCAAUAUUCAUUGAAACUCGGUGGCGAACGGGAGCGUAACACGUGGGAAUUUACCAAAAAGUGGGGGAUAGCUCGUCGAAAGGCGAAUUAAAACCGCAUGUGAUCGAAAGAUUAAAGUGGGGGAUCGUAAGACCUCACGCUUUUUGAGAAGCCCGCGGCCUAUCAGCUAGUUGGUGAGGUAACGGCUCACCAAGGCUAUGACGGGUAGCUGGUCUGAGAGGACGACCAGCCUCACUGGAACUGAGACACGGGCCAGACACCUACGUGUGUCAGCAGUCGAGAAUUUUUCACAAUGGGGGCAACCCUGAUGGAGCGACGCCGCGUGGAGGAUGAAGGCCUUCGGGUCGUAAACUCCUGUCACUACAGAACAAGAGUAUAGUAGCUAACACCUAUUAUGCUUGAUAGUAUGUGGAGAGGAAGGGACGGCCAACUCUGUGCCAGCAGCCGCCGCAG